UACGGAGGGUGCGAGCGUUGUCCGGAAUCACUGGGCGUAAAGGGCGCGUAGGCGGUUUGUUAAGGGUGUGGUGAAAGCCCGGGGCUCAACCCCGGGUCUGCCGUGCCGACUGUCAAACUCGAGGGCUGUAGAGGCAGACGGAAUUCCGGGUGUAGCGGUGGAAUGCGUAGAGAUCCGGAGGAAGACCGGUGGCGAAGGCGGUCUGCUGGGCAGUUUCUGACACUGAGGCGCGACAGCGUGGGGAGCAAACAGG
rnacentral:rRNA from 1 species